rnacentral:rRNA from 1 species
AUUGAACGCUGGCGGCAGGCCUAACACAUGCAAGUCGAGCGGAUGAAGGGAGCUUGCUCCUGGAUUCAGCGGCGGACGGGUGAGUAAUGCCUAGGAAUCUGCCUGGUAGGGGGGUAUAACGUCCGGAAACGGGCGCUAAUACCGCAUACGUCCUGAGGGAGAAAGAGGGGGAGGUUCGGACCUCACGCUAUCAGAGGAGCGGAGGUCGGAUUAGCUAGUUGGUGGGGUAAAGGCCUACCAAGGCGACGAUCCGUAACUGGUCUGAGAGGAUGAUCAGUCACCCUGGAACUGAGACACGGUCCAGACUCCUGCGGGACGCAGCAGUGGGGAAUAUUGGGCAGAGGGCGAAAGCCUUAUCCAGCCGUGCCGCGUGUGUGAAGAAGGUCUUCGGAUUGUAAAGCACUCUAAGUUGUGAGGAAGCGCAGUAAGUUAAUACCUUGCUGUUUUGACGUUACCAACAGAAUAAGCACCGGCUAACUUCGUG